GAUGAACGCUGGCGGCGUGCCUAACACAUGCAAGUCGAGCGAUUCUCUUCGGAGAAGAGCGGCGGACGGGUGAGUAACACGUGGGUAACCUGCCCUAGACACACGGAUAACAUACCGAAAGGUAUGCUAAUACGAGAUAAUAUGCUUUUAUCGCAUGGUAGAAGUUACAAAGCUUUUGCGGUACAGGAUGGACCCGCGUCUGAUUAGCUAGUUGGUAAGGUAACGGCUUACCAAGGCGCCGAUCAGUAGCCGACCUGAGAGGGUGAUCGGCCACAUUGGAACUGAGACACGGUCCAAACUCCUACGGGAGGCAGCAGUGGGGAAUAUUGUACAAUGGGCGAAAGCCUGAUGCAGCAACGCCGCGUGAGCGAUGAAGGCCUUCGGGUCGUAAAGCUCUGUCCUCAAGGAAGAUAAUGACGGUACUUGAGGAGGAAGCCCCGGCUAACUACGUGCCAGCCGCCGCAGUAA
rnacentral:rRNA from 1 species